rnacentral:rRNA from 1 species
AUUGAACGCUGGCGGAAUGCUUUACACAUGCAAGUCGAACGGCAGCACGGGGCAACCUGGUGGCGAGUGGCGGACGGGUGAGUAAUACAUCGGAACGUGCCCAAUCGUGGGGGAUAACGUAGCGAAAGUUACGCUAAUACCGCAUACGAUCUACGGAUGAAAGCGGGGGAUCGCAAGACCUCGCGCGAAUGGAGCGGCCGAUGUCAGAUGAGGUAGUUGGUGGGGUAAAGGCUCACCAAGCCGACGAUCUGUAGCUGGUCUGAGAGGACGACCAGCCACACUGGGACUGAGACACGGCCCAGACUCCUACGGGAGGCAGCAGUGGGGAAUUUUGGACAAUGGGCGCAAGCCUGAUCCAGCCAUUCCGCGUGCAGGAUGAAGGCCUUCGGGUUGUAAACUGCUUUUGUACGGAACGAAACGGUGAGCUCUAAUACAGUUUGCUAAUGACGGUACCGUAAGAAUAAGCACCGGCUAACUACGUGCCAGCCGCCGCCGUAACAC